GUGGGGAAUUUUGGACAAUGGGCGCAAGCCUGAUCCAGCAAUGCCGCGUGCAGGAAGAAGGCCUUCGGGUUGUAAACUGCUUUUGUACGGAACGAAACGGUCCUGGCUAAUAUCCGGGGCUAAUGACGGUACCGUAAGAAUAAGCACCGGCUAACUACGUGCCAGCAGCCGCGGUAAUACGUAGGGUGCGAGCGUUAAUCGGAAUUACUGGGCGUAAAGCGUGCGCAGGCGGUUUUGUAAGACAGGCGUGAAAUCCCCGGGCUCAACCUGGGAAUGGUGCUUGGGACUGCAAAGCUGGAGUGCGGCAGAGGGGGAUGGAAUUCCGCGUGUAGCAGUGAAAUGCGUAGAUAUGCGGAGGAACACCGAUGGCGAAGGCAAUCCCCUGGGCCUGCACUGACGCUCAUGCACGAAAGCGUGGGGAGCAAACAGGAUUAGAAACCCGUGUAGUCC
rnacentral:rRNA from 1 species